rnacentral:rRNA from 1 species
UACGGAGGGUGCAAGCGUUAUCCGGAAUCACUGGGUUUAAAGGGUGCGUAGGCGGUCAGAUAAGUCAGUUGUGAAAUACCCCGGCUUAACCGGCGGAACUGCGAUUGAUACUGUUUGACUUGAAUCAGGUUGAGGUAGGCGGAAUGUGGCAUGUAGCGGUGAAAUGCUUAGAUAUGCCAUAGAACACCGAUUGCGAAGGCAGCUUGCUGGACCUGUGUUGACGCUGAGGCACGAAAGCGUGGGGAGCAAACAGG